rnacentral:rRNA from 1 species
UACGUAGGGUGCGAGCGUUGUCCGGAAUUAUUGGGCGUAAAGGGCUCGUAGGCGGUCUGUCGCGUCGGGAGUGAAAACUCAGGGCUUAACCCUGAGCCUGCUCCCGAUACGGGCAGACUAGAGGUAUGCAGGGGAGAACGGAAUUCCUGGUGUAGCGGUGAAAUGCGCAGAUAUCAGGAGGAACACCGGUGGCGAAGGCGGGUCUCUGGGCAGUAACUGACGCUGAGGAGCGAAAGCGUGGGGAGCGAACAGG